AUCAACUUUUACAAAGUUUAUGAUUCAUUUUUAUUUCUUAUUUUCUUUCCUUGCUUUCUACUUCAGGUUUGAGUGUUUGGUGUGAAAGAAUGAUUUUUCCCUAUUCCAGGAUGUAAAUUAAUAUUACCUUAAUGUCAACAAAAUCUUCCAGGUAAAUAGGAAGUAUUUUUAGUAUUUUAUAAAAAUGAGAAAAGAAAUUUAUAUUUCCCUUUGUAUUUUUUCCUUUGCCAUAUGCUUCAUCACUUUUAGGGCCUAGCAAGAGACGGGAUGAUCUGUAAUAUUUUAUUAUAUAUUUUGUGUGUAGAAGAUCCUAGUGUUUGCUACAUCUGGAGCUAACCCCCUUAAAAUUAUGUUACCUCUAGCUUAUUUUAUUCAGCUCUCUUCCUUUCUAUUUGAGCAAAAGGAAUUGGCCAUUAUUUUAUUCCUCUGUCUUCUAUUUCUUUUGAGCAAAAGGAUUGAGAGUUAUGCCUGGCACACCCCAGGCACCCACAGAUAUUGCUACAUUUAUUACUCAGAGCACUCUGAGAAUUUCAUCACCAAAGCAACUGAGAGCUGCUUCUUAUCUCUGUAAGAAAGUAAGGCUACCUAAUUUUAAUGAAGAUGAGCUGUUUGAAUGCCCAUUAUUGAUUACUCGCUUGGAUAAUUUUGUCACUUUAGUAGACUAAGAUCUAAAGAAUGUGGUGGGAGCUGCCAGCCUACAGGUGCCACCAGUCUGGGGGAGAGGUGGAGGGAGGGGACACAGGCUCAUUGCCUUGUGCGUCUUGCACUCUGUCCCUCACUGGCCACUGACCUGCCUGACUUCACAAGCUCUGCCCCUGCCCGGCAGAAAUACUUGGAUUACCCACAGUCUUAACGCAGAUGAGACCAGUGUCAGGAUACUGGGUCCUCAUCUCACUUGGGCCUAUGCCAAAGAUGUAAAAUUUGGUGCAGGUGCCUGAGCCUUAAUGCUUCAAGGUGUUGAUCUUUUAGCCAAUGCCAUAGCUGCUACAUUGGCACCAAAGGAAAGAACUAUGAUUAUUGAAUGGAGCUGGGUACGUCCCAGAAUAACAAAAGAUGAUGUGACUGUCGCAGAGUCAAUUGGCUUAGAGGAUAAAUAUAAAAAUACUGGAGCUAAGCUUGUUCGAGAUGUUGCCAAUAACACAAAUGAAGAGGCUGGGGAUGGCACCACCACUGCUCCUGUACUGGCAUGCCCUAUGGUCAGGAAAGGCUUCAAGAAGGUUGGCAGAGGGGCUAAUCCAGUGAAAAUCAGGAAACGUGAUGUUAGCUGUUGAUGCUCUAAUUGCUGAACUUAAGAAGCAGUCUAAACCCUGUGACAGCCCCUGAAGAAAUUAUUCAGGUUGCUGCAAUGUCUGCAAAUAGAGAUAAAGAAAUCGGCAAUAUCAUUUCUCAAGCAAUGAGAAAGGUUGGAAGAAAGGCUGUCAUCACAGUAAAAGGAUGGAAAAACAUUAAAUCGUGAAUUAGAAUCACCAUAUCUAAUUUUUGCAUACCUUAUUAAUACGUCAAAUAAUUAGGCUAAAUUUUCGAUGUAUUAAAUUAACUGAUUAAUACAUCGAAAGAUCAGAAACAUGAAUUCAAGGAUGCCUAUAUUCUGUUGAGUAAAACAGAAAUGUCUAGUGCCCUGUCUAUUGUACCUGCUCUUGAAAUUGCCAGUACUCACUAUAAGCCUUUGGCUAUCAUUGCUGAAGGUGUUGAUGGAGAAGGUCUAUGAAUAUGCUCAAAGUUGGUCUUCAGGUUGUAGCCGUGAAAGUUCCAGGUUUGUUGACAAUAGAAAGAACUAGUGUAAAGAUAUGGCUAUUGCUGCUGGUGGUGCAGUGUUUGGAGAAGUGGAGUUGACCCUAAAUCCUGAAGGUGUUCAGCCUCAUAACACAGGAAAAAUUGGAGCGGUCAUUGUGACCAAAAGCGAUGUUACGCUCUGCAAAGGAAAUGGUGACGCGUCUUGAAUUGAAAACUGUAUUCAAGAAAUCAUUGAGCAGUUAGAUAUCACAGCUAGUGAAUAUGAAAAGGAAAAACUGAAGGAAUGGCAAAACCUUCAAAUGGAGUAGCUAGCUGUGCUGAAGGUUGAUGUGACAAUUGAUGUCACAAUGAAUGGAAAGAAAGACAGAGUUACUCUUAAUGCUGUAAGAGCUGCUUUGAAGAAGACAUCAUUCUGGGACGGGGUUGUGCCUUGCUUCAGUACAUUCCAAUCUUGGACUCAUUAAUUCCAACUAAUGAAAAUCAAAAAUUGGUAUAGAAAUUAUUAAAAGAAUACUCAACAUUCUGACAAUGACCGCUGCUAGGAAUGCAGGUGUUGAAGGAUCUGUGGUACUUGAGACAAUUACACAGUGUUCCUCAGAAGUUGGUUAUGGAGCUAUGGUUGGGGAUUUUGUGAAUAUGGUGGAAAGGAAUCACUGACCCAAUGAAGGAUGCGAGAACUCCUUCAUUAGACAUUGCUGGGUGGCUUCUCUGUUAAUUACAGCGGAAGUUGUAGUCACAGAAAUUCCUAAAGAAGAGAAGGACCCUGGAAUGGGUGCAGUGGGUGGAAUGGGAGUUGGCAUUCCUGAUUCCUAGAAUAGGGCUUUACCUUUAUUAAUGAACUGUGAUAGAGAGCUCAAGGCAGUAUUUCUCACCAUUAACUACAGAGAAGUCAUUUGAAGAAAAUGAAGAAAAGGCUGGGUGAUGUUUUGAAAAAAUUACUGUAACUAUCAGUUGCUGGUUUCAACUGACAAUAAAUAGCAAUUUACUGUCAUUGUCUAUGCCUACUAAUAAUUUGUUUUGUAUUUUUGAUUAAAAAGACAUUUGAUACUGGGUGAAAGAGCCACGUCCCAAUGUACUGCUUUCAGCUUAAAUCACUGAGGCGUUUUUACUACCAUGCUGUUAAAAUCAGGAUUUUAGUGCUUGCUAACAGCAGGUGAGAAGUUAAGGAGAGGCUUUUCUGUGGAGAGUAAAAAUAACUAUACAAAGUAAAGGAAUACCCAAUUAUGGGACAGCCUUUACAUAAUACAAAUUUAUUUAAAGUUAAAAAAAAGAAUGAAUUGUCAGAUACCUUCAGUUAUGGAAGAAAGAUGGAAGGAGCUGUUUUCCAAUGAAAAUCUAAGUAGAACUUUAGAUGGGCAAUUACUAAAAGGAAGACAUAAUCUAAUUUUAUGGUAGAAUUGUGUAGCAGCUAACAGUAAGCAUUUACUCUUAAAAAUAUUUCCUCAGAAAGAUGCACAGUACUUUUAACUUUGGUCAUAUGCCAAGACAGGGAAUUGGAAACUUUCCAGUGUACCUUCCAACGAGCCACUGCCAGCCCCAUGUGCAGUGUGAGCCUGGGAUGCUGAAAGUAGGGCAGCGAAAGUGACCUUGGGAUACAGAAGAGUGACUGGGAAAAGCUCACAAGAGGCCACAGACUUUAUAGCAUGCUUUCGAAAUUUUAGACAGACCUAAAACGGGCUCUAAGCCCUUCAUAUGAUCACACCUUGAUUUAUUUGUUGCCUAAAUACAGAUCCAAAGUGUAUAUCUAAAGACAGCUUUCAUACAUUAUUCACUAUAGAUAGGGCAUGCCUAGUCAGGGAUGAAGCUCCUGGUGAUUACAGAAUUCUCUCAUUAGCUUCUAGGAGAAAAAUCUCUGUUGAUAAAGACAUUUAUUAAAAGUGCUUGGUAUGCUCUAUCCAUACCAGAGAAACAUAGGAAUAGAUAAUUUGGUAACAAAUCAUCUAAGAAGCUUCUCAUUUCAACAGAAAAGACUACAUCUAUUGUUAAGAAUAAAUAUGAUUGGUAAAUUUAAAAGUAUUUCCACCUUUCUAAAAUGAAUGUUUAGACAAGUCUGCUUUACGGAGAUGGAGUCAGUUUCUGUGUUCUGAAAGGAGAAAGAUGCCCCUGGAGGUGGCUGAAUGCUGUCUUCCAAAUGUCUUCCCAGGGGGCACCCGUGAUUUAGGGUUGAUUGGACUCAUACUGAGCUGACUCCACCAGAUGGAGAUAAGGUGGGGGCAAACCAUUCCAGUGAGCAUGUAACAACCUAGGGCACUGCUUUUCGUAACCAGAAAAAGAAUUAGCAAUCUGAAGGUUAUAUGGUGAAUGAACAUAUGAGAGUAGUGUCUAGUGGUGUUUGAUUCAAACCGUGGUGCAUUCUGGUAGAUGUCUUCUGUCCUAACAUAGUGUUAGUCUUAAUCAGACCAAGCAUCUCUGAUCUUCCUGGAUGUUCUAUGCAUGUUCUAGCUACUGGUUCUGUGGCCAAAACUGACCAAUCUAUUACCAUUUGUAUAGUAUUUGAUACAAAUCAGAUACAGUGUAUUCGAUUAGGUAUUUACUUCCUAAGUCAUGAGUAUGUUUUAGUCCUCUGUUUUUUUUUUUUUAGCCUAGGUCCCCUUGAUUGGAGUUUUGGAUGUUCCCAAACCCCUCAAUCAUCCCCUAAGACUCUGGAAUUUUAGGUUAUUCUCUAAAUGACUAAUCUCAUUCUUUGUGUGUGUGUGCUUUAGAAGUCUAGCUGUGAGAAGGAAGCCAUAAUUCCUGGUCGCAGGAAGAAACUCAAAAUUUCCACAAAUACAGGCUCAAUGUUGUUACAUUGCUGUGUCUCCUACAGUCCCUAGAACUGUGACUGGCCUUUAAUAAAUGGCUAUUGAUAGUAAGAUUAAUGAUUCUGAACUUGGGAAUCAACCACGGAAGCAUAAAUGUGCUUGAAGAAGACUUUGCAUUGUAAUAAACUUGUAAAAGGAAAGAGAAUUCAUCUCUUUGCCAGGGAUGUUCAUUUUGCAGCAUAGUUUGAACGCAAUAUUUUUCAAGUAAAUUGAAUAUGAAUGCCUGGCCCCAUGAUACGUUAAUGAAUUACGGGUUGUCUCCCAUCCCCACCAUUUCUCUCUUGCUUUGUUAUGAAAGAGCUACCAAAUUUGCUUAUAAUUAGCAUAGGACACAUUGGCAUCAAACAUUAUGUUAGCGUAACUCACUGAAAAGAUUUUCAAAGGGAAUAUGCAACACAUGAAAACAUUUAUCAUAGAGAGAGAAAAGCAGUGAUGUGGAAAAUCCUUGCUCCUCCUAAUCUCUUGCUUUUCUUUUGUGAUUGUACCUGCUACAGGUAGGUAAUCACUUUGUCCUUCUUCCCCUCCUGCCCUUUAGGCAGGGGCUGGGGUCAGGAAGGGCUGGCUGCAUGCCUGUGCUGAUGAGGUGCAGCAACUGCUAUGGUGCUCUUUAUUGCCUCCCUACCUCUAAAAUCUAGUCUCCCUAGGAGUCGGAAGCUGGGAACAGCAGGAAUGGUGGAGGCAGGAUCUGGCAGCAGCUUCUCUAAAGUCAGCGGUAGGCGAGGCACACCAGCUCCUGUAAGUUGGGGAGGGGAGCUGCAGAAGGCAGCAGCAGUGUCGUUUUCUCUGGAUAGGCCCCAAUUCCGGCUUUGGCUUUGCGUCCUGACCAGUGUGACCAUGGGCAAGUCACCUGACAUUUCUUGUCUUUGAGUCUUGUUUGUGAAGAGAAGAGGGUGAUGAACCACAUAGAUUCUAAAAGGUUCUUUUUAGUGUAGCCAUUCCCCUUUGAUUCUCCAUGCACUGCUUGCAGGGUUGCAGUGAGAAAACCAAGGAGAAAUUUGGAGCUAAAAGUUGAGUGAAUUCUUGCUCCUUUCAUGGUCAAAAUAUGUGACCACCAGCCCAUUGAAUGGAAUGGAGCAUGUUUAAAUUCGCCUCACUGUGGUCACUCUGGCAGCAGGCUCAGCUUACUAGGGCCAUUUCUCUGAUGUACUUUGGGAAUUCUUCCAAAAUGUAUAGGGAGAAGUAGAAAAACCAGAGGCAUUCUGAGUGAGGAAAGAAGCAGAUGACUCAGCGAAUCACCAAUCUACUUCAUCUCCUUGGAUAGGAAAUAGUUGAAUUUCAUGAAUAAAUUUUAUCUUUUUCUGAUUAUGAAAGUCAUAUAUGAUUGUUGUAGACAAGCGUGCACAGAAUGAUCACAUUUGUAGAAAAUGUCUGUUUUGUUCAUAUGUGAAUUAAAAGGGUCAGAAAGGAUAUAUUCCAUAUUGUAAACAGAGGUCAUCUUCAGGAAAUGAAAUAGGCAUGGUGAUUAGAAAAAUGUUAUAAAUGCUCAUUGUAGGACAGUCAGAUAUAAAGAU